CUCUCACAAUUAAGUUUUAAUAAUAUAUUUCAUUGAUUUUUUACAGAAAUGAUGCUGUUUUGAACGAGUUCGAAAGACGAUUCGGUGCUAACAUUCGAACUGUGACUCCACAAACAAUUUUAUCUCGUUUUGAUCGGGCUAUUGCACAGUUUCUACUGGAUCUCAUUCAACCCGUGUACCAAAAAAUAAAGGCAAUUAAAAAAAAUUAACGACGAAUUUAGCAUUUCAUAUAGUUGGAGAAAACAAACGACUGAAUAAAAUCAAAAUCAAUUCUUGAACAUGA